rnacentral:rRNA from 1 species
CAUAGCGACUAUCGUGGCAUAUCAAUAAGCGGAGGAAAAGAAACUAACAAGGAUUCCCCUAGUAACGGCGAGUGAAGCGGGAAGAGCUCAAAUUUGAAAUCUUAAAGGGUUUCCCUUUACGAAUUGUAGUUUAAAGAAGUGUUUUCUGUUGGAGUUUCGGUAAAAGUUCUUUGGAAUAGGACAUCAUAGAGGGUGAGAAUCCCGUAUUUGACCGUUACUUUCCAGCUGUGUGAUACACUUUCAAAGAGUCGGAUUGUUUGGGAAUGCAGUCCAAGAUGGGUGGUAAAUUUCAUCUAAAGCUAAAUAUUGGCGAGAGACCGAUAGCGAACAAGUACCGUGAGGGAAAGAUGAAAAGAACUUUGAAAAGAGAGUUAAACAGUACGUGAAAUUGUCAAAAGGGAAGCGUUUGACACCAGUGUUGUUUAGUUGAAAAUCAAUUCAAUAAUUUUUGAUUAUUAAGUAGUAUUGACUUCAUCAGCUUUGCUGCUUUCUUUUCAGGAAUUAUUGAAUGCACUUUUCAGUUAACAAGUCAACAUCAAUUUCUUUUGUUGUAAAAGGGUAAGAGGAAGGUGGCUUACGCUUCGGCGUAAGUGUUUAUAGCCUUUUACCUCUGCAAUCGGAGAGAUUGAGGACAGCAGCGUAGACUCUUCGGGGUUAGAUACACUUGUGCUAAGCUAUAGCCUUGUAUAGACAACUUGUUGACUAUGCUCAGUCAUGUAGCUUACUCGCUUGUGCUAUUUUACCUACGCUUAGGAUGUUGACGCGCGUGUGUGCGUG